GACGAACGCUGGCGGCGUGCCUAAUACAUGCAAGUCGAACGCAUUUUCUUUCACCGUAGCUUGCUACACCGAAAGAAAAUGAGUGGCGAACGGGUGAGUAACACGUGGGUAACCUGCCCAUCAGCGGGGGAUAACACUUGGAAACAGGUGCUAAUACCGCAUAAUUCCAUUUACCGCAUGGUAAAUGGAUGAAAGGCGCUUUUGCGUCACUGAUGGAUGGACCCGCGGUGCAUUAGCUAGUUGGUGGGGUAACGGCCUACCAAGGCUGCGAUGCAUAGCCGACCUGAGAGGGUGAUCGGCCACACUGGGACUGAGACACGGCCCAGACUCCUACGGGAGGCAGCAGUAGGGAAUCUUCGGCAAUGGAAGCAAGUCUGACCGAGCAACGCCGCGUGAGUGAAGAAGGUUUUCGGAUCGUAAAACUCUGUUGUUAGAGAAGAACAAGGAUGAGAGUGGAAAGUUCAUCCCUUGACGGUAGCUAACCAGAAAGCCACGGCUAACUACGUG
rnacentral:rRNA from 1 species